CGGGGCCCGCACAAGCAGUGGAGUAUGUGGUUUAAUUCGAAGCAACGCGAAGAACCUUUACCAGGGCUUGACAUCCCUUGAAGCAGCUAGAGAUAGCUGUGUCCUUCGGGACAAGGAGACAGGUGGUGCAUGGUUGUCGUCAGCUCGUGUCGUGAGAUGUUGGGUUAAGUCCCGCAACGAGCGCAACCCCUACGUUUAGUUGCUAACGCGUGAAGGCGAGCACUCUAGACGAACUGCCGUUGACAAAACGGAGGAAGGUGGGAUGACGUCAAAUCAUCAUGCCCCUUAUGUUCUGGGCUACACACGUGCUACAAUGGCCGGUACAGACGGACGCAAAGCCGCGAGGUGGAGCAAAUCCUAAAAAGCCGGUCUCAGUUCGGAUUGCAGGCUGCAAUUCGCCUGCAUGAAGUCGGAAUCGCUAGUAAUCGCAGGUCAGCAUACUGCGGUGAAUACGUUCCCGGGCCUU
rnacentral:rRNA from 1 species